GAUGAACGCUGGCGGCGUGCCUAAUACUGCAAGUCGAGCGAACGGACGAGAAGCUUGCUUCUCUGGUGUUAGCGGCGGACGGGUGAGGAACCAGUGGAUAACCUACCUAUAAGACUGGGAUAACUUCGGGAAACCGGAGCCAAUACCGGAUAAAAUUUUGAACCGCAUGGGUCAAAAGUGAAAGACGGUCUUGCUGGCACUUAUAGAUGGAACCGCGCUGCAUUAGCUAGUUGGUAAGGUAACGGCUUACCAAGGCAACGAUGCAUAGCCGACCUGAGAGGGUGAUCGGCCACACUGGAACUGAGACACGGUCCAGACUCCUACGGGAGGCAGCAGUAGGGAAUCUUCCGCAAUGGGCGAAAGCCUGACGGAGCAACGCCGCGUGAGUGAUGAAGGUCUUCGGAUCGUAAAACUCUGUUAUUAGGGAAGAACAUAUGUGUAAGUAACUGUGCACAUCUUGACGGUACCUAAUCAGAAAGCCACGGCUAACUACGUG
rnacentral:rRNA from 1 species